GGUCUAUUAGCUCAGGAGCGUGGUGCUAAUAUUGGUUAACGCCAAGGUCACAGGUUCGACCCCUGUAUGGAUCA
rnacentral:tRNA from 1 species